rnacentral:rRNA from 1 species
CUACGGGACGCUGCAGUGGGGAAUUUUGCACAAUGGGGGAAACCCUGAUGCAGCGACGCCGCGUGCGGGAAGAAGGCCUUAGGGUUGUAAACCGCUUUCAAUUGUGAAGAAGGGAUGAGAGUUAAUAGCUUUCUGACUUGACGGUAGCAUUAGAAGAAGCACCGGCUAAUUUCGUGCCAGCAGCCGCGGUAAUACGAAAGGUGCAAGCGUUGUUCGGAUUUACUGGGCGUAAAGAGAUCGUAGGUGGUUUAUUAAGUCGGAUGUGAAAUCCCGGAGCUCAACUUCGGAACUGCAUUCGAUACUGGUAGGCUAGAGUUCGGGAGGGGAAAGCGGAAUUCCGUGUGUAGCAGUGAAAUGCGUAGAUAUACGGAGGAACACCUGAGGCGAAGGCGGCUUUCUGGACCGAUACUGACACUGAGGAUCGAAAGCGUGGGUAGCAAACAGGAUUAGAUACCCCGGUAGUC